AGCAGGUCGGGCUGUGUUUAUUGAACUUAUUCUUCCUGUCUGUUUGGGUCACGACUGAAUCCGGGCAAAUGACAGAUGACAAGAAGCAAAGCUGGUUUGGGAGUGACAAACGUCGGCCACUUUUGGCCACGCUGCUGUUCCCAGAAAAUUGUUGGUGAGGAGAAAUAUGAAGUGUUCCAGUACUUCUCCUGGAAAAGCACUAGAAAUAUUUGAGUUGAUUGCCCCCGGCAAAGACACUUUGGAAGGAGAUAGCACGGAGCCUACACAUUCCACAUGUAAGAAAGCAAUCUUAACAAAAGGAGGCUGAAGAAGGGAAUGGCAUGCAUAGGCGCUUUGUGAAGAGGAAUGCCUCACCCACGAAGAGCUCUUCAAUUCUGGGCUGAGAAGAAUGAGUGAGCCAGCUUGGAGAACACCGAAGCAGUCACUGUGGGAGGAACAAAAGAAACAGAGGACAAGGUCCCUGCCCUGGAGGAGCUUAUGAUCUAAAAGCACAAACAGGAAGGACAAGAAAUGACUACAUUUACACGAAAAUAAACGAUGCCGUCUGCAUA